CAGUGAAUGCGUCUCUUUGUCCAGUGAACUGUUGUACUUUUUAUACGAUAGUUGGUGAAAUAAUGGCAGUGAGCAUUACUCAGGAUGGAUCUUUUUCAUGGAGUGGAUUUACAAUUUCAUUUCUUCCGGGAGAUUAAUAAAGAUGAGCUGACAUAACAGAUGCAGACCUGCUAGAUCCGAUUGACAAGAUUGAGACUGCAGACACUACAGCCUUGCUUGAGCUUUCUGAAAGAAUCGUAGCAUGUGGUACACAGGAUCCUAACAUGUGAUGAAAGGAAGACAUUGUCAGAAGAAGGGAGCAGCAGUAAGGAGAGCAGGGUUGAAGAUGACAGCGAACAGCUG